rnacentral:tRNA from 1 species
AAUUAGAAAGCGAAAUUUAUUGCAUUUAGUUUCGACCUAAACUUUGGCCUUACGCCUCUAAUUA